rnacentral:lncRNA from 1 species
GUAUUCUUUCCAUGCGAACUUUUUACAAUAAUAAGUCCUAAAGGCCUAUCUACACGAUGCGACCAAUCAAUGAUAUGACAAGGAAAUUACGGGAAAUUAAAAAAUAAAAUGGUAAAAUAUAGAUAAGAUACAGAACAAGAAAAAAAGUAAAGAAAAAUUAAAUUCUACGUUUUGAAAAGAUAUAUUUCAGUUUUUAAAUGGAAGCACAGUACAGACUGAAACGUAGCAAUCCAGACGUUACAAUCAGAAUAAUUAGUUACAGCCAGUGUUACAGCUGUGCUUGCAGUAUUGCCCACGUGCACCGGAUAGUCCGGAUAUAAUCAAUCGCAUUUGCUGGUUUUUUGAAGAAGAUGCUAAAAUUAUAAUCUUGAUGUGUAAUCAGUAAAUGACCUUUGUUACGUCUCUUUACAACAUUAUUAUUUUGCCAUCUGGUUUUACUUUUUUCAAGUUUUGAGCGGAGCUGAUGAAAGUUUAUGUAAUUUUUCGUUGGAUAUAUAAAAAUUUUGAAAAAAGAUAAGCAAAGAGGGCUAAGUGAGGACGGCUGUCUACAAUAACCUUCUUGAUAAGGCAAUUGGCCAGUUUCAUCUCACUAUCGUUGACCAUUCUGCCAAGACCCGUGGAGAAUGUUGCAUCAACACUUUAUAAAGCCCUGGUGAUUGUACAAUGUACAAUGUCUAUUAAUUGUGUCUAUCUUUACAUGCAUUUAGUAAGAGGCUAUUACAAGGAAGACUCGUUAUACUCAAAGAGAAUAUACACCCUUCACCUACGAAGGGAUAUAAACUGAAGUGAAAAUGACAAACAAAUGUGUCAACUAUCGAGGGAUUUAGCUAAGAUGUCCAUGGCAUCAAAGAACCUUGUGACACACUACCUACUUCACAUUUGGUUCGCAUUGCAUAGCAAAAGACGUCAUUUGUACAAAACUAUUAAGGUAAGUCAAGGUAUUUGCUGUGAGGCAAGCAUUACAGCAGACAUACACUGUAUUCACGACUUUACUAUUUUGCUAAAACCCAAGUGUAAAAAAUAUUAACGGGUAUGAUAAAGAGUCUGUUAUUAGAGCUUCGCAAUAAAGCAGAGCAACCGAUUUGAAAAGUCGUAUACGAGUGCAAAAGCUUCCGCUGUUCCGUGUUUCCGUCUUCCGCUGUUCCUGGACCUAACACCCGUUGAGCAAUGUAACAAAAUGAGAUUGUCGAAUAUGUCAACCGUUACGAUGUUUUUCAAUACUGAAAUUGAAUUUCUGCAACUGAAAAUCUGAAAUCACCUGGUGAAUUAUGGCUUAUAUAUCAUUUUUCAACUCAUAGUGAGAAUAAAGAAUGGAUGGGGAUAUAUAAUUAAUGGUAACCAUUACGUGCAAGCCAACUAGCUGGAGGACCAUGGUCCAACGUGUCAUCUUGUAGAUCCUAAAGCUCAAUGCUAUACUUUCUGGGCCAUCGUUCUUUGAUUUCUCAAUAAAGAUUUGUCCAUAUAUUUAUGUCAGCAGUAGGACCAAGGCAAGAAGAAAAAGUACAGCUGACUGCCUGUGAGGCUGUGAACAAAACCUUAUUCUCCAACAUCUGGUAUCAAUUUUCUCAGCUAGAAGUUUGGUUGUAUUUCCGCUGGUUUCCUCGGAGUAGAGAAAUAAAUGAGACAGUCAGCGUGGGCCGAAAUUUUGGUCGGAUGAUAACUUUUGAUUUCGUUCGUUUCGCAUUAUCUUAGUUGUAUUAUAAAAUCAUUGAUAAAUAGUGACAAUAUGUAUAAUAUUGUAA